rnacentral:rRNA from 1 species
CCUACGGGUGGCAGCAGUGGGGAAUAUUGCGCAAUGGGCGAAAGCCUGACGCAGCGACGCCGCGUGAGGGAUGAAGGUCUUCGGAUCGUAAACCUCUGUCAGCAGGGAAGAACGGUCACUGUGCUAAUCAGCAGUGAAUUGACGGUACCUGCAAAGGAAGCACCGGCUAACUCCGUGCCAGCAGCCGCGGUAAUACGGAGGGUGCGAGCGUUAAUCGGAAUUACUGGGCGUAAAGCGCUCGUAGGCGGUAUGUCAAGUCAAGGGUGAAAUCCCCGCGCUCAACGUGGGAACUGCCCUUGGAACUGUGCGGCUAGAGUGCGGGAGGGGCAGGCGGAAUUCCUGGUGUAGCGGUGAAAUGCGUAGAUAUCAGGAGGAACACCGGCGGCGAAGGCGGCCUGCUGGACCGCGACUGACGUUGAGGCUCGAAAGCGUGGGGAGCGAACAGGAUUAGAUACCCCAGUAGUC